GGUAGUACAAGUCAUAAGCUCUAUAGAGUUAGCUACCACGUUUAAAUAUAACUGAUCGGAAAAGAAUGAAACAAUUGAAUACAAGUAAGAAGGUGACUCUGAAGCCUGCGAUUGCAGCAACUUGUUUACCUUGAGUCUCCUCAUCAAUGAUCCACACAACUACUAACGAUCGAUACCUGGAUCUGCACAACAAAAAUGUGAGGAAGAGUAGCAUGCGCACACCACAGCGGUGCCCAGUAAGUAUCAAGACUAACUUCGGUGGAGUAGUGAUGAGGACCAGUCGAGACACCUACCGGUCUAAUAAAUUGAUCAAGUAUAAGUGUAGAACAACAAAACAUAAUAUCUAUGUAAGGGCUACGCGGUAUGGCUAACAACAUAGUAAUUGCAUUAUGGAAAGAUAACUGCAAGUAACAGCGGAACCCAUAAUAAGAAUACAAAAAAGUGAAUGGAAAUGCAACCCAACUCUGAAAUCACAAAUACCGCAAGUGAUAAAAAUGUUUCGAAAUAUAUUUAGUUCCAAUAAAUAUUUUCCAAAAAUAGUUCUUUGAAAAUAAAUAUAUUUCGUAUAUAAUUUUCUCGAAUAAAUAACCUUUGAAUACAAGUCACCAUGUGACACCAGAUCUCAAAAUCAUAAAAUACAAGUCUCAAUACCUGAACCCUAACACUUGGCAUCCUGUAGCCUCAUCACAUUACAUAAUCAUACUGACAACUCACGUACCAAAUAGGGUCAUUCUCACAUAGAAGACAAAUAUGCGUCUACACUCGACAAUACCAAGAAGCCUCAUAUAUGAUUAGAGUGCUUAGCCAUGUGUAUACUUGUGCAAGUGUCCUAACAUAGUUCAUACCAGCUACUAAGUGUAAGGAAUAGAACGAACAACACAUAUAUUGUUUACACAAGGAUAGGAUCAAUGAAAAAAAUAGUUCAGAGCAUAGAGAUAGCAACGGGGGGAUCUCCCAGGAUAUCAUCCUAUAGUCCCAACGUAAAUGUGUAGGGGGAUCUACCAGAAUACCGAUCCGUAGUCCCAAAGUAAAUAUGCAGUAGGAUCUACCGGAAUACAGAUCUGUAGUCCCAAAGUAAAUAUCCAACACAAGGGGAUCUACCGGGUGUCAUCCCGUAGUCCCAAAAUAUAAAUGUGCAUGGGAAUCUAUCAAAAUACCGAUCCGUAGUCCCAAAGUAAAUAUCCAGUACAGGGGGUUCUACCAGGUGUCGUCCUGUAGUCCCAAAUAUAAAUAUGCAGGGGGAUCUACCGGAAUACCGAUCUGUAGUCCCAAAGUAAAUACGCAACGCAACCAACAAAAACAUUAGGUACAGCACAAUAGAAAACUCGUACAUCAAAACAAUAUGUAUAACAACAACAAUGACAAUAAUACAACGUAAGACAAGUAAAUCAACUCAAGGACUGUAAAUCACAGGGAAACGGUAGAACCAACUCACAAAGAAUAACCACAUAAAAGAAUGUUGACUUAAAGUGAACAGUUCAACAACGGGAAAACUAACAUGUAGCAACGAUCCCACAAUAUACAAGUCAAUAACAAGGAAAUCAUUACGAGUCAAGUAGCCCCAAAUAAGGCCAAAUCAACAAGGAUAUUGGUUAUCAAACUCCUUUGAAGGUUGGACAAUUUCGAGGAUACUCGAUAAUUCAAUUUAAGGAAAUAUGAUCUUAGCUUCACUUAAGACUAAAUAAUUUUAGGAGGGAAAAUAAUAAUUCUCAAAUAAGACAAGCAGCUAUGAAAAGAUAGCACGACAAUAGGAGUGGCAAAAUUCUUCAAUUAAGUCAAAUAGGACUCAAUUAGUCAAUAAAAGCGAAACAUGAAGAAAUUAAUUCCAAUUAAUCAUGUCGAGGUGAAACUAGUAAAUAGGAAACUCAAUCAAGUUAAGAACACAUUCAUACACAGUGAAUAUAAAGACCUAAGAACCCUAAAAGGCCAAUUUUCCAUAAAUAAGUCAGAGCAUGCACUUGUCACCUCGUGUACCCGAACUACAAUCAACAUAGAAGACUCAAAUCCUAAGGGGAAGUCCCCCACACAAGGUUAGGCAAGAUAAUCAUCUCAAAGACGACAGACCAAUACUCUAAAAUGCACUUCUCGGGUGAAAAGACCUCUAGACAGCUCAAAGAUAACCAAAUUAACUUCAAAGCACAAAUAAAACACAUAAGAAACUAUUUCGGAUCAUAAAGUCUCAAUCAUUAAAAAAAUCCAAAAAUCGGUCCGAAAGUUGACCCAGGGCCUGUACCUCGGAACCCGACAAAUUUCACAAAAAACCAAAUACCCAUUCUGAUACGAGUUCAACCUUACAAAAUUAAUCAAAUUCCUAUACCAUUUGGUCCCUCAAAUCACGAUUUUCCAUUUUAGAAAUUUUCUUUCAAAACCAACAUUUUCCUCAACUCAAAACACAAAUUAAAUGAUGAAAAUGAAAUAAAAUCAUAGAAUAUGUUAGAUUCUAGGUGAAGAACACUUACCCAAUCGAUUUUUGUUAAAAACCCUCCAAGAAUCGCUCAAAACCGAGCUCCACAAGUUAAGAUAUGAAUAAAAUGGUCUAACACUCGAUUUUGGGAUAUAUUUUGUCUGCCCAGGCAUUUGUGCAUUGCGAACGUGAAGAAAGUAUCGUGUUCGCGAAGAAGAAAAAUGAAGGUUGCCCAGGUUGCUCAUCGCGAACGCGACAAUGCGUUCACGAACACAAAAAAGGAAUGUCUGAUGGCCCAAAGACUGCUCUUCGUGAACGCGUGAACUAGUCAGCAAACGCGAAGAGUGGAAUGGCAAAAUCACGCGAUCGCGAGGGACAGAAGUGAACACGAUGAAGGAAGAGACAGAGCUUCGCAAAUGCGAGGCAUGUUACGCGAACACGAAGAAGGAAAAUUAAGGAGACCAGCAUAGACUCUUCGCGAACGCGGAAGGGGCUUCGCGAACGCGAAGGAGGAUAUCAGACACUAGAAAAUAGCAGUUCAAAAACAAGGGAAAAUGACUCGUAGCCCACCCGGAACACACCCGAGGCCCCCGAGACCCCGUCUAAACAUACAAAUAAGUCAUAUAACCUAACAUGGACUUGCUCGAGGUCUCAAAUCAUAUCAAAAAGUUCCGAAACGACGAAUCACACCAUGAAUCAAACUUAGGAACUUUCAAACCUUCCAACUUCCAAAACUCGCGUCGAAACCUAUCAAAUAAACUCGGAAUGAUGCCAAACUUUGCAGACAAGUCCAAAAUGACAUUGCGUAGCUCCUCCAACUCUCGCAAUUGCAUUCUGACCCGAUAUCAUAGAAGUCAACUAUGGGUCAAACUUCUCCAUUUUCCAAACUUCAACUUUUCCAACUUUCACCGAAACGCCUCAAUUUACCCUACGGACCUCCAAAUCCGAUUCCGGACGCGCUCCUAAGUCCUAAAUCACCAUACAAAGCUAUUGAGAUCACCCACAAUCCAUUCCGAGACCGUUUACUCAAAAAUCAAAUUCCUGUCAAAUUCUUUAUCGCUUAACAUCCAAAACUAGUUUCCAUCUUCCAAUUCAACUCCGAACCAUCUGGUGACUGAAUUCAACCAUGAACAUAAGUCUAUACACAUAUUAUGAAGCUAUUAAGACCUUAUUCCACUGAACGGAGCUUAUAUUCUCAAAACGACAGGUCGGGUCGUUACAUCCUCCCCCUCUUAAAACCAACGUUUGACCUCGAAGAUGCCAAGAUUUGCCUCAAAGUCCUCACGUAGCUAAAUACACACUUCUAACAUACAACCACGAGUGAUCCCACGUCAACCCAAUCCACCUAAACUUGACGACACCAUCUCAACAUGUUUGCCGUGAAAAUGGUUACAAUAAUUAAAUUUGUAAAUGAGAUUCUAAAAAUACGUGAUCUAUUCUCGAGCUAGUUGUUAGAGCAGUUAAUGCUAAGAAUGCUAAAUUUAAUGAUGAAAUGCGAGGUAAAAAGAGGUAGUAACCAAACCAAAGGUGGGGGCUGUUGCCCGGAUGUAGAGAUGGUCGAUGGGACCUCGGGGUCGGCGUUAGUAUCAAUCUUGAACUAUCGGGGAUAACCGGAGAUGGGAUAACAGUUAAAUAUAUAAUUAGACAAGGCUAUUUCGGCCGAUAUUAAGUUAUAUAAUGAAGAACAAGUUAAGAGGCGAUGAAUUCGGAGAUGGCCUCAAGCCAGUACCAAGUAAUAAACAAGAAGAACGAACAAAAUAGGAGAAAGGGAAGAAAUAGAGCAACCUCCGCCCUUUACAAAGUGGUAUGGGUUCCCCUUAUAUAGGCAAUGGAACAUGGUAUGGUACAAAUAUGUGGAGAUUAAACACAAAGUACGGAGAUGGGAUGGUUUGACGUGAUGCCUCAGCAUAGGCUCUGGAUAGGCCAGGCCUGUCAGACGUAGCCAUGUGCCUUGGGGGAUUCCCCCUCCGACCUGGCUUCGGUCUUUGUUUUCUCCGAGUCGGGCUCCGACGAUCCCCGAGGUCGAGAACUUGGUCACUACCUCCCGCCCUCUGAGUCCCAAGGCAUGCUUCCGAAAUGUCCCGACAACGAGAAAUCAAGCCUUUUAAUUUCUCCACAUACAGCUAGUCUCCAUGUUUCCCAUAAUGAAGAGAUGGGCAAUGAUUCUAACACUUGACUCCUUGAGCUUCUUUUGGCAACGACGUACCAAUUAUGCGACUCCUGGCCUGAGCUUCGCAGUGAUUGGACAUCCACGUGCUCGUGAUUUUCAACUUAAUUCAUUGCAUUCCUAAUUCUCAUUUUUUAAGGUGAAGGUACCACCGUUGGCUCGAUUUUCCAUGGAUGCAUUAACUGCGUCCGUCGGUCAGCCUUCCAAGGCCUAGAUGACCGUGUCGUAAUCUCCUAUCAAUGGGGGUGCCUCGACUUUGAUUUUCCUAUCCUAGAGCUUUCGUUGGCUCGCUUACCUUUCACUUCUUAUCAUAUUCUUCAUCUUCUCCGGUGGGUAUCCCUCGAGGGAUUGAGUUUGGAACCUAUGGGAGGAUGGAUAUCAAAGGAGUCAUCCUCAAGGAUGCAUUCUAGAGGGUACGACGCCCGAGGAUGCUGAUACCGGAGAUGGACUCUCGAGGACGGACUAGGCACCGGGUUUCAUCGCAUGUACACCCUUUCAUUCCUCCGCUUUGGGCGUAGACUCCUGUGGGCUUUUUCAAGUUGUAUGUAUCGACCUCUCGAGGGCUGCUUGUACACAAACUUUUAUGAAUAAGAGUAUACCCCAUUGAUUUUUGAUUUCGAACUUUGCUUUGUUUCUGUAUGCUCUCAUUCCCUUCGAGGCCCUUUGAAUGCUUUCUUUUGUUUGCUGGCUGCUGAUAUUGGGAUUGGGUGUGGGCAUCCAUCCCGGUCGUCUGUUGAUCGACAUAGCUCUCAUCUGAACCCAUCGUCGUACUAUGGACCAAUCUUGGAUUGAUCUGAUAGGUCCGGGCUAUCGAGGCGCUCCAAGUUGUAUAGAGAUCAUGCACCAAAUUCUGGGGCCUUCGGGAAUGUUACCCUGGAUGAAGGUCAUUUUCGGGUACCCGGGGCCCCUAUUGAUCUUGAUGUAGAUAGCCCCUUUAGAAUGUAUAGGAUAAACUUCUACUGAGGAGUUUACCUGCAUUCGGGCGCUUUCUCGGACCUUCGUGGAGCUUUCGCGAUAGGAGCUUCCUGUGUUUAUUCCUCUUUCAGAAAGAGGGGAUCGCGAGACCAGGUACUUGCCUUGCGUCAGGUGUUGGCGUUUAAAACUUCCCGAAGUCUGACUUCUUUGGGCUGGGGGUUCUUGACGUAGAGUGCUAUCUUGAGCUCAAAGAUAAUAUGAACGGCCCUUCGAGUCUUGAAUCCUCGUUGAAGGAUGUUUUCUGGAUUGGGUAUUGACCUGUCGAUAUAUAUCGAGGCUGUUGGCUUCCCGAGGCCUGCAUCGGGCAGGCGAAUCAUCGCUGCUUCUCACAUAUAUGUAGGGAGGCUUUGGCUUUUUCGCAACAAUUCACUAUUUUUAGAUAGCUGCCUUUCUACUCUGGCAUGGGUACUUCAUCUAUUUAGGUGCAAAAAGUGUUGGUGCGUGUGCUUGCUUUGACCUGUUAGUUUCACCAUAGUCAUUGGAAACCACUUCGGGGCCGAUCUAGCAGGGGACGGGGGGUGCUGCUCCCGGUGCUCAAGAACAGAGGGAGUUCGCUCUGGAGACGGCGUCCUUGAUAAGAGGGGAACACCUGGAGAUGGCGAGGAUAUAAUGCGGGUGGAGCGAGGGGAUAACACUACAGGUGCUUUCCCCAUAUGAGGGCAUUGCGGACUCUACCGAUGGAUUCUUAAGCAUAUACCUAUACCCUUUCGCAUUUGGCCCCCCCUGAUAGGAUCGUGCUUGAUUUUUUCUUGUAGUAUUGGGUUACCCUGGUCUAGAUUCAUCUGUGGUUUUGGCGAACGGAAUUGAUGAUGAGGUUCUUCGCGGAGAAGGCCGGGCUUGAAUUUAUGCUUGAUCACCUUAUCAGGCUAUAUUGACCCUUUCAUCGUUGAGGCCUGCUAACUCUGAGGUGUCGCUUGUCCACACCCUUUGUUAUUGAUGACGAGGAAAACGGGGAUCGAUAGUGGGCCAGUUGGUUUAUCCGGGUCCAGAUGAUCAACAUUAUCCCUAUGGAGUUUUUGCCAUUUCCCGAAGGGUGAAAUUAUGCACGUGAGUGAGGCGUUUGGCAUUUUUUCAGGUUUCGCCUAUUGCGAGAAGCAGCUGAGUAACAAUGUUGUCUCCCUUGUUGAAGCAACUUUGUGGACGCCGGGUGAAGUCUAUGAUCUGCCUGGCUAGGUCCGGAUGGGGAGCGCAGUACCAAGGUAUAUGCGUAUGCUGCCUUUGCCUUGCCUUCGUAUACUCGAGGUAAUAUUUUCCCCUUCCAUUUGUGAUGGAUUCGCCGUUUGCAGAUAUCGGGCGGUUCUUUGGUAUGGGGGCCCCGCGGUGUGAUGGAGCCUUUAGUGGUGUUGGUCGGGCUGACAUUUUUUAGGAAGGGGCGUCACCUGGGUCCACUGCUCCCGGAGCGCCUGAUUCUCGACCGGCGGUUCCUUUGAGCGAAUACGUCGUGCCUGAGGUCGGCUCUUCUGGGGCCACAGAGGCAAGAUCAACAUGAGUGUGUUUCGACUAUGAGGAAGUCCGUCGGCUUCACUUUUUUGUGAGUUCAUGUACAGUUUCCCUGUGCCCCGUGCCCUCCUCCCUCUAUUGAACCUUCCUUGUGUAUGCCUGUGAUAGGCUUAGGUCUGAGCUGCUCCGUCAAGGGGCCAAGUUUCACAAAAUUCUGGAUGAGGGCAAAUCCCUUAGACUCCUUAGCAAGGAGAAGGAAGUCGAGAUGUAGCAUUGGCACUAUGAGGUGCACCGAAGCUCAAACUAUUAGAGCUAUUUGAUAGAGCAGGUAACUUUCUGUAGUACGUGCUUCGCUCCUUUCUAACCUUAAGGCUAACCCCUUUUUUCGUAUUAGAGAAAGGCGGAGUCCUUGGAGUACCUCAAAGGCGACGUCAACCAUGUCAUAGUUGCUUGCAAGGAGCUAAAAGCUCAAGUGCAGGCUCGAACUUUGGAGGAGAUGAGUGCCUCGGCUAAGGUUCCUGCCUUUGAGGUCCAACUCUGUUUGACUCAUGACAAUGCCAAAGUUCAAGAAGAUAUGAUUGGGAAACUUGAAUUUGAUCUCUCGAAGGUCAGAGUUGAGAUAAUUGAUGCCCGGGCAGAAGCGACACUAAGUCGAACCAAGGCUAAUUGUGAGAUGGCAAUACGUAUGAAGGAUGUUGUUGAUGCCCAAGCCGAGCUAAAGCGAGCCCUUGACCGGGGGAAAAGGAUCGUGAAAUAUGCUCGUUGUAGAUCCUGAAGAGAGAUACUCGAGGAGGUCGGUGCAAGGGGCUUCGUCCUCUCGGUGGAAUGGGCUCGAGCAAGGGCAGACAAGCGUGACGCUCAAUUAUUUCUUGUUGACAUUGCGGAGGGCAAAUUUGAUAAGUUGUAGCCCUUUAGCGCAGAGUGUAGACAUUGCCAUUUUGUCGCUCUAGAUUUUGCCAUUUUGUCGCUUUAGAUUUUGCCAUAUUGUCGCUUUGCCUCUAAUAUACAUAGGGUAUGCUUGUAGAUGGAGAAUACGUUUUUUUUUCACAUGUAAUAUAUAAGAAGAAACUUGAGGCCUUAUUUCUUCUGUACCUUUUUUUCUGUUGUUGCUUUCGAUCGGGCAGACUGUUUUUUUUCUUGUCCUCGUAUUUUGUGUGCCUGUGCAGGCAGGUAGUAAUCGUUUUUAUCUUUUGCCCUUGGGCAUUUGUCGUUCCAACUGCUUUGGAUUCAGUCUUCGAGCCAUAUUGUGACUCGAGCUUCAAUUGACCCUCAUGAUCUUUCCUGCCUGCAUGGGCGGAUGAUGAUGGUCCUUUAUGCUCUAGGUCGAAGUGACCUUACGGGCGCGUGGCCCGGCGGUUUACUCGGCCGGCAAUAGUGGCACUUAUGCCAUGCCCUUAGGUGUAUUGCAGAUUUUGGGUCCAGUCUCUGAGUCGCAUUGUGAUUCAAGCUAUAAUCGACCCUUAAACUUCCUCGAUUUCCUGGCCGGCGAUAGUGGCACUCAUGCCCUUAGGCAUAUUGCAGUUUUCGGGUCCUGUCUCCAAGUUGCGUUGCGAUUCAAGCUGUAAUCGACCCUUAAAUUUCUUUGAGUUUCUGGCCGGUGACGGUGGCACUUAUGCCGCUUGGUCAUUGCGACCUUUUAGUAUGUGGCCCGAAGGCUCGCAUAGUUCACUAUUUUGGAAUCGGUCUCCGAAUCGGGUUACGAUUCGAGCUCAUUUUAAUCCUUAUGUUGUCAAAAAAAAUUGUAGCUGGCGACAAUGGCUCUUACGUUGUUUGGUCGUUGAGACCUUUCAAUAUAAGGCCCGUAGGCUUGCUUAGAUGGCGACAAUGGCUCUUACGUCGUUUUUUCCCAUGGACUUUUUUGUAGGCUUUGUUUCCGCUCGUUAAGGUCUUUUAGAGUAUUUUUGCCUGACCCGUCGUCCGUUCUAGAGGAACCUCGAUUUCAAGUCGUUGUCGGCGAUGUUUUGAACACCUCAUAAGGUUCAUAUCUCGUAGGACGAGUAGAUCGAUGCUCUUGCGAUUUGGAGCCGACAUGGUCGGAGAUCAUUUUUGCUUGUUGAGGGAAGCCUAUUUUAAUCGGUUCUUUCCGAAGUAUAUUCGAAGUAGUGGCCUAUGAUUUUUAGCGACAGUCGGGCGUCUCCGAGUCACGUUAUUUUGGUUGUAUCAGCCUUUUUGACCGUAGUCAUGUGCAUUUGGCCGUAGCCAUUUUUGAUCCUAAGUGAUAGUUUAGGCGUCUACACCGAGGGUAUGCCCUUUAGGGAUUCUUACAAAUGCGGUGUAUAGCCUAAACUUCGGGAUUUUCAUCCCUGUUAAGGUCUUACAAUUUGCCAUGCCUAUUGAGGUCUUACAGUUUAUCAUGCCUAUUGAGGUCUUACAGUUUGUGUGAUGUAUAAUAGAUCCGGUUAUGCCGAGUCUGCUCUCUAGGGUCUUACAGUUUCAGAUUUUCCAAUGUACGGUGAUUGGCAAUAGUUUCCGAGUCAUUGAGUUUGUUUAAGCUUGAAGACCGCUUCUCGUGAACUCGGGGUUGCAUUGUGAGGGAUUUGUGAGCCUGGGGUUCCGACCCUGGGGUCAUGUGGGCACUGAAUCGUUUAAGUCUCCUAGUAUCUCGGGACGUAUUUGGCGGAGAGGCUCCAGUUGAGAGUAUACUGUGAUUUUCCCUUUUGGACAAUGAGAUGCUUGGAAGAUAUUCUCUGAUCCAUUGGCGCAAUAAACGUGUUGUUGUGUUGAGUCAAUUUAUUUUUAGGUCGAGUUUGGUUGCUCUGAUGAUUUUCAUGUUGUCGUACUCUAAGAAGGAGCCUUUCACUUUUUUUAUGGAAAAGGGGUUUUUUGUUUGCCCGAUAUAAUAGUACACGCUCCCGCUUUGGCGGGGUCUGAUUACAUAGAUCGUUUGGCCCGAUACAUCAUCUCCUUAUAGGAACCUUUGCUUGGCAUUUCCCCACCUCCUUUGAAUCAGGUGACUUCCAAGGGGAAUGCCCUCGCCGCUUGAAAGUUGGCCAUAAGGGUGGCUUCGAGCAAUUCGUGGAGUUUCCCCUUUAGACAGCUUCGCAGACGUUGCCUCAUUAAAAACCUUUCCGGUCAAAACCCUUCUUUUUUGGGAUAAAAAUGCGGUCGAAGGAAAAGAGUGCAACGGGCGUGCUUUUGGGGGUCUCGAUGCCUCUUGAUAGUGUUAGCAUUCUGGUAUAUCCGAUCGAGUGCCUGCACGAGGGUUAGUUCUUAAGCUGAAAUGAAACAAAUGGAAUGGUUGUACCUUGAAACGGGAUAUGUUGGUGGCGCCUUGAGAUUGGCUUAUUAUGACUGCCCGAGGGCGGACAUGCGAUGCAGAUUUCUACUUCGUGUUGUCAAACCCGACCGGGGUUGAGACCUGAUUCGCCCGCUGGCUUAUUUGGGAGAAGGGGUAUGGGCACUGAUAAUACAUUAUGUAUUGCAAACAUUUCCCUUGCCGCGUGUUGUUCAUCAUAGAUGGUUUUGACCCCGUCCUUCGUCAGGAAUUUUAGCAUUUGGUGGAGGGUGGAUGAUAAUACUCUCAUGCAGUGUAUCUACGGUCGUCCAAACAAGGAAUUAUACCUUAUAUCUCCCUCGAUGACAUGGAAUUUAGUGUCUUGGGUGGCGCCAACCACGCUAAUUGGAAGGACAAUUUCUCCUUUUGUUGUUUCGCUCGCUAUGUUGAACCCAUUGUGGACCCGAGUGGCGGGCACGAUCUAUUCGAGAAGUCCAAGAUGUUCUAUUACCCUCGACCUGAUAAUAUUGGCCGAGCUACCUGGAUCCAUGAGUAAAUGUUUUAUCUUAAAAGAAUUUACAGGAAAAGAGGUUACCAAGGCAUCAUUAUGGGGUUGAGAUAGGGCCUCUGUAUCUUCUUCGCUGAGCAUGAGGGCUUCUUCGGGGAUAUAUCGCCGAGUCCGUUUUUCCCUGAUGAUGGAUAUUUUUUUUCUCCUUAUCAUGGGUUCCUGAAGGGCAUCGGUGCCCCAAAUGAUCAUGUGGAUGACGUGUUGCGGUUCGUUUGCCUUGUUCUUCUUGGUUCCCUCCCUGUCUCGAAACUGAUUUUUGGCCCGAUCACUAAGGAAUUCCAGAAGGUGCCCUUUGUUGAGUAGCCGGGCCACUUCUUCUCGUAGUUGAUGGAAAUCCUUGGUCCUGUGACCGUGUGUGUUGUGGAACUCACACACUAAGUUGUAAUUUCUCCGUGAAGGGUCCGACUGUAUUGGUUCGGGCCACUUGGCGUCCCUGAAUUUGUCGAUAACGAACACGAUGUCUGAUAUGUCGACGCUGAAGUUGUAUUCCGAUAAGUGGGGUGCGUUUGUCGGUACCAUGUUCUAAUCGAACCUAGUUCUGUUGACAAGCCCCCGAGGAUCCUGUCCUCGAUCUAUCCUCCGAUCGUUGUGGGGUAGGUUGCGCCUCAGGGCGUUCCUUCUGUAUUCAAGGUACGGUUGGUACCUUUAUUUUCUUGGUUUCGACUCUUUUGCCAGGAGUUUGUUUGGGUAUAUUGAGCCCGAAGGGGCUCCCAGCUGUUCAUCCUCGGCCCUGAUCUUUGACUAGUAUCGUUUGUGAACGUCCGACCAGGUGAUAGCCGGAUAUUCGAUUAGAUUCUGUUUCACCUAUUUUGAAGCCAUCGGCUUCGUUCAUUUAGGCCUAGGGUGAAGGCCUGCACCGCCCAGUCGUCGGAGACUGGUGGCAGCUCCAUCUGUUCCAUCUGGAAGCGGGAUAUGGAUUCUCACAACAUCUCGUUCUCUCUCUGCUUAAUUUUGAAAACAUCGGAUUUUCUCAUUGAUAUUUUUAUGGCUCUGGCAUGUGCUUUUACGAAGGAGUCUGCUAGCAUGGCGAACGAAUCUAUGGAUUUGGGAGCCAAGUUAUGGUACCACAUCAUGGCACCUUUGAAAGCGUUUUUCCAAAUUUUUUCAGCAACAUGGACUCGAUCUUGUCAUUUUUUAUGCUGUUGCCUUUUACUGCGUAGGUGUAAUCAAUGAUGUAUUCGUUAGGGUCGGAGGUGUCGUUGUACUUGGGGAGUCCCAGCAUUCCAAAUUUUUUCAGGAUAGGCUUCGGGGCUGCAUCCUCGGGGAACGACCUCUAAAUGAACUUCUUUGAAUCCAAACCUUUGAGGAUCGGGGGCGCACUUGGGAUCUGAUCGACCCUGGAGUUGUAGGUCUCGACUUUUUUGUCGUUGGCUGCAAUCAUUUUCUCACCUGAUUCGAUCCUUUUGGUGAUGUCCUCGAGCAUUUUUACGAUGGCAGGGUCAGCCACUGACUCGUUGUUGCUUGACCUUUCUAGUGCUCACUCAGCGGAGGGAGCCAUCUCUGGCGCCACUUGUCACACCUCCUUUUAACCUACACCCCCGUAAAGGUGUAUAAGGGAGUUUUUUCCAACUUAAAGCGACAAUCGAAAUGGGACUAUUUUAUUUAAAAUUUAGAGUUGCCACUUGGGAUAAUUUAUGGUGUCCCAAGUCACUGGUUCAAAUCCCGAAUCGAGGAAAGAUUGACUCUGUUUUACAGUCCGCGAACACAGAAAUCCGGGUAAGGAAUUCUGUUAACCCGAAAAAAAAGUGUUAGGCAUUCCCGAGUUCCGUGGUUCUAGCACGGUCGCUCAACUGUUACAAUUGGCCUAUUAUUAACACAUGUUUUAACCUAUGUGCAUUUUAACUUUAAAUCGCUUUUAACCAUUUUUAAGAAAAGAUUGCAACGUCAUUUAAAAUAUGUCUUGAAUCAUGUCACAUAAAUGCACCUGCAGUCCACAACACAUUUUAUAUAACAUUGUUGAGAUUUGGAUUUGAGUCACAUAAAUGUGCAUCCGAGUUUAAGAAUGUAAUUUAUGAAAAUAAUGCACCUAAAGCAACUACGCGUUUUUAAAUUUGCGAGGGCCAUGGAAAUUCAACUAAAUGGCAUGCCUCGAAUUCUAAAGGAAAAGCAUUCAACUAAACGCCCAAGGUGCGAUGAAGCUUAUUCCGGUCCAAAUCUUUUAACAACUAGCCUACCCAAAUGUGAUAGUCCUAAACAUGCUUCUAGGUGACAAUAAAAAUAAAAUAAAAUAAAUUAGAACUAAAUAAAUCAACGAAAUAUUGUGGAGAAAAAUAAUCCAAAUUAAUGUUUACCUUUAAUUAGCAAGGAGAAAUUUAGUAAUACUAUACUCAGAAUUGAAUAAUAUGGGAUCUACUUCUUUAGCCUUCCACUCCCCGCAGUAUAUUUCCAAUUAAUCAUCAUCACUGAACGACAUUCUUUUUCUUUAUGUCUUUCAUUUCUCAUUUUAUCAACAACAACAAAAUAAUGAAAAAUCAUGUCAAACUAAAGAAAAUCAGAUGCUAAGAAUCAAACAACCAAAUAUAAGCUCACAUAGAAAUUUAUCACUAAGUAAACACAUUUAAAACGAGAUUCAGAUCCAUUAAAUUCAAGAAUAAAAAAUGAGAGAUUGACCUCAAGCAAUUACAGCAGCGUAACAGGAGCCGAAAAACAGCAGCAACAUGAAAUUAUUCCACGAACCUCGAACCUCGGACAACACCCUCGACCCAGACCUUGACGACUUCGAGCGGGAAACAGUGAAUAGCGAUCUCAAAUGGAAAAUCUCACCAGCAAAUUCGAAAAUCCGCAGCAGCAGACUUGAAGCUUGUUUGACGGAGGUUCACAUGGUAGUGGGAGGAAUGAUAGUUACCAAUCUUUGUUCAAAGUGGUGUUACUGGAUUUUUAUGAGUUUAAUUAGUUUUUGUUGGAUGGUUUUUAUUUAAUGAUGAGAUUUUAUGGAGAAGCUGGUUUAAGAUCAGAAAACGUAAUUCGUUACGGUGAGGAUGAGUCUUUUUUUUGGAAGUUGGGAGGGAUGUCUAUCGUUUCUUUUAUUGUUGACGAAGAAGCUCUCAAGGCUGCCC
rnacentral:lncRNA from 1 species